rnacentral:rRNA from 1 species
UACGGGGGGAGCAAGCGUUGUUCGGAUUUACUGGGCGUAAAGGGCGCGUAGGCGGCCACCGCAAGUCGACUGUGAAAUCUCCGGGCUUAACCCGGAAAGGUCAGCCGAUACUGCGGGGCUAGAGUGCAGAAGGGGCAACUGGAAUUCUCGGUGUAGCGGUGAAAUGCGUAGAUAUCGGGAGGAACACCAGUGGCGAAGGCGACUUCCUGGCCUGUUCUUGACGCUGAGGCGCGAAAGCUAGGGGAGCAAACGGG